UUCUAAAAGCGUACUAUGCUCUUAUGUGUGUUAUUUGCAGCUGAAAGAGAGCGAAACCUUAACAAGCCUCAAAAGUGGAUUCUGCUGGAGCUUUGUGCAUCUAACAGAAAGCCAGUUCAGAGACAAAUAACCUAUAGUUUCGUCUUUCAUCUUUUUCAGAACAUUCACCGCCCUCUUGUAUGGUCAACACACACUGUGACUUCUUGCAGCCACCCACUCAACGAAAUCUCAAGGAAACGGCAAAGGAAGUGUGCCGAAGACCAGUUUCCUUUAAUUUCACACUGAAGAGUAUUAAAAACAGCGCUGCUSUCGUUCCUGCUGUCAAUCAGCAGCACCCAAAGAAUGUCACAUUGAACCAACUCAGCAACAGAAAGGCAGACAGCGCAUGUGAAGACAAACAGUACCCACCCAGGGCCACGACGAGGCCCUUUUUACUGACAAGCAUUUCAGCGUGUAACAGCUGGAAACAAAACAUAUUACGACCUGAUAAGCGAAUUAUUAUGUUAAUYUASAGUUCACACCUUCACAGUUAUUUCCUAACCAAUCUAAUUAUUCUUUUUAUUYAAUUAAAAGGAGCACCCUUACUCAACGCAACGCCUAAAUAUACCUUUUAGCUCAUUGUGACAAGUUAGCUCUAUAAGCAGUGCAUGUUACAAUCAAUCAACUUGACAAGAGCAAUUAAAAACACGSCAGACAUAUACUGCUGCGGGGCACUAAACGUUGGUUCGACGUACGUGAUAGAAAACAGUGUACAGGGUGGUGCGAAAAGCAGCUCGGAGUUUUGGGUGUGGCAGGAGGGAGUUGCGGAGGACAGGCGACUGUACAUUGCCAAAUCUAACUUCUAACUAAGGUUCAGCAAAGAAUUAUGUGUUAUUUUUUCUGUCCUUUGUUUUUCCACAACUCAAACGGUGUUUCGUYAUAGGCGUGAUUAAAACAUUAAGUGGCGAUACAUGCUUUGACGAGCACAAAAUAUAAGGUUAUAGCAUAAUAAUGUUUGAAAACUUCUGUCAGUUUUUGGAUUUCUGAGAGAGAGAAAAAAAAAAACCGUUUUCCCCUCAUUCUUCCAACGUGCUAAGCCUUUGCUCCCCCUUUCUAUGCCUCAAACCUGGUUUCAAUUAGCUUGUCUUUCCAAACCACUACAUUCCAUAACUCCCCUCCUCACCCCAGAACCGCCCAUCCCCCCCUCACCAACACGCUCACUGACUCUUUCCCUGUCUUCCUACCAUCUUUUCCCCACACACACCCUGGCACRGAGCCCAGGUUAAGUAACCCAAGGUACGGGGAAAAUAAGGAGAAAUCGUCCUCUGUCCAAGACUUACAAACGAGUAAGUCAUAAAAGAUUCACAUGCGUCACGGCUGCAGGGGUUUAACGUUUCUACCAUAGGAAAUAAAGUACAUAUUUGGUCAAGAAACA